AGUCAUAAAAGGAUACAUGCAGUAUGAUUUUAUUUAAAAAAAAAAAAAAAAAUCUUAAAAAAGAGAAAUAAAUUUGAACAAAACUAAACUACAAGCCCGCAGUUCCCCGCCGAAAGCGAGGUGGGGGAGGAGGGGGCGGGAACGGUCGAGGCACUGAGAGUGGGGGAUGAGAAACGAACUCCGUCCCCUGCACAGUCAGUGCCUUCGGGGGCUCCACCACCGCGCGCUCCCACCCUCAAGGUUUGGACUCCUAGGGGAGGGAGAGGACGGGAGGGAGAGGAGGAUAGGUGGAGGGGGAAGAGGGACUCCUUUUCUCCUCCUGCCAGCGCCAGCUGGGGCAAACUUGAGCUGGCAAAGCGCGAGAAAACUUUUCUUUGGAAAGUUUAGGUAGCGCAGUUAGUGGCGGAGGCUCAGGGCAAGCUAACAGUGCUGGGGCGGGUGUGGAGGGAGUGAGCUGGGUGCGAUUGGGAGAGGGGAGAAGGGAGAAGGGAAGGAGUGGCCAGCUCCCUAGGCGGUUGAAGAUCCAAGUCUCUUCGGUCAGGUCCGCCCAAGGUCCCAGAGGCACUGGGGGGUCGGGUGACUGUGCGGAGUGUAAAAGACAUUUCCUUAGGAAACAGACAAGGCAGGGCCAGGAGUUCCGCGGUUUUUUUUCCGUGCAGAAAUCACUACCCGGCGACGGCUCAGGGCGGUAGAGGGCAAGUCUUAUCUGCCAAGGCGGGAUUAGAUUCUCUCGCCGAGGGUCCCAGUAUCCCGCCGCCCAGCAAGGGCCGAGCGCGCGCGCGCGCCAGGGAGC
rnacentral:lncRNA from 1 species